rnacentral:rRNA from 1 species
GACGAACGCUGGCGGCGUGCUUAACACAUGCAAGUCGAACGGAAAGGCCCUGCUUUUGUGGGGUGCUCGAGUGGCGAACGGGUGAGUAACACGUGAGUAACCUGCCCUUGACUUUGGGAUAACUUCAGGAAACUGGGGCUAAUACCGGAUAGGAGCUCCUGCUGCAUGGUGGGGGUUGGAAAGUUUCGGCGGUUGGGGAUGGACUCGCGGCUUAUCAGCUUGUUGGUGGGGUAGUGGCUUACCAAGGCUUUGACGGGUAGCCGGCCUGAGAGGAUGACCGGCCACAUUGGAACUGGGCUACGGCCAAGACUCCUACGGGAGGCAGCAGUGGGGAAUAUUGCACAAUGGGCGGAAGCGUGAUGCAGCAACGCCGCGUGCGGGAUGACGGCCUUCGGGUUGUAAACCGCUUUCGCCGGUGACGAAGCGUGAGUGACGGUAAUGGGUAAAGAAGCACCGGCUAACUACGUG